rfam:Chlorocebus sabaeus isolate 1994-021 chromosome 26, whole genome shotgun sequence.
GCCGGGCGCGGUGGCUCAAGCCUGUAAUCCCAGCUACUUGGGGGGCUGAGGCAGGAGAAUCGCUUGAACCUGGGAGGCGGAGGUUGCAGUGAGCCGAGGUCAUGCCACUACCCCCCAGAGGGAAACGCUAUCUCAAAAAAAAAAAAAAAAAGNNNNNNNNNNCUUUUUUUUUUUUUUUUUGAGAUAGCGUUUCCCUCUGGGGGGUAGUGGCAUGACCUCGGCUCACUGCAACCUCCGCCUCCCAGGUUCAAGCGAUUCUCCUGCCUCAG